CCCCCAGACUCCUACGGGAGGCAGCAGUGGGGAAUAUUGCACAAUGGGGGAAACCCUGAUGCAGCGACGCCGCGUGAGCGAUGAAGUAUUUCGGUAUGUAAAGCUCUAUCAGCAGGGAAGAAGAUGACGGUACCUGACUAAGAAGCCCCGGCUAACUACGUGCCAGCAGCCGCGGUAAUACGUAGGGGGCAAGCGUUAUCCGGAUUUACUGGGUGUAAAGGGAGCGUAGACGGCGAUGCAAGCCAGAUGUGAAAGCCCGGGGCUCAACCCCGGGACUGCAUUUGGAACUGUGUGGCUGGAGUGUCGGAGAGGCAGGCGGAAUUCCUAGUGUAGCGGUGAAAUGCGUAGAUAUUAGGAGGAACACCAGUGGCGAAGGCGGCUUACUGGACUGUAACUGACGUUGAGGCUCGAAAGCGUGGGGAGCAAACAGGAUUAGAUACCCCAGUA
rnacentral:rRNA from 1 species